rnacentral:SRP_RNA from 1 species
CAUCAGGAACCAUGCGAACAAACACCGCCCAAAUCCGCCAGGUCCGGAAGGAAGCAACGGUAAGCGGAGGUUUGUUGCGCCGUGACCAUCCUGAGGGCG